rnacentral:rRNA from 1 species
GACGAACGCUGGCGGCGUGCCUAAUACAUGCAAGUAGAACGCUGAAGGAGGAGCUUGCUUCUCUGGAUGAGUUGCGAACGGGUGAGUAACGCGUAGGUAACCUGCCUGGUAGCGGGGGAUAACUAUUGGAAACGAUAGCUAAUACCGCAUAAGAGUAGAUGUUGCAUGACAUUUGCUUAAAAGGUGCAAUUGCAUCACUACCAGAUGGACCUGCGUUGUAUUAGCUAGUUGGUGAGGUAACGGCUCACCAAGGCAACGAUACAUAGCCGACCUGAGAGGGUGAUCGGCCACACUGAGACUGAGACACGGCCCAGACUCCUACGGGAGGCAGCAGAGGGAAUCUUCGGCAAUGGACGGAAGUCUGACCGAGCAACGCCGCGUGAGUGAAGAAGGUUUUCGGAUCGUAAAGCUCUGUUGUAAGAGAAGAACGAGUGUGAGAGUGGAAAGUUCACACUGGACGAUCUACCAGAAAGGACGC